AUGGACUUAGUUGGGAAUAUCGAUGCCAUAGCAGUCAUCAUCUUACCCGUGACAAGGAGGCUGCCCUUUGGGCCUCCCGAGCAGCUGCAGUGUGUUGUGUUCGGCGGAGGCACCCACCUGACCGUCCUUGGUCAGCCCAAGGCCUCCCCCUCGGUCACACUCUUCCCGCCCUCCUCUGAGGAGCUCGGCGCCAACAAGGCCACCCUGGUGUGCCUCAUCAGCGACUUCUACCCCAGCGGCGUGACGGUGGCCUGGAAGGCAGACGGCAGCCCCGUCACCCAGGGCGUGGAGACCACCAAGCCCUCCAAGCAGAGCAACAACAAGUACGCGGCCAGCAGCUACCUGAGCCUGACGCCUGACAAGUGGAAAUCCCACAGCAGCUUCAGCUGCCUGGUCACGCACGAGGGGAGCACCGUGGAGAAGAAGGUGGCCCCCGCAGAGUGCUCUUAGGUUCCCCAUGCCCCCCGCCCACCUAAGGGGGCCCGGAGCCUCAGGACCUCCAGGAGGAUCUUGCCUCCCAUCUGGGUCAUCCCGCCCUUCUCCCCGCACCCAGGCAGCACUCAAUAAAGUGUCCUUCCUUCAAUCAGA